rnacentral:rRNA from 1 species
AUUGAACGCUGGCGGCAGGCCUAACACAUGCAAGUCGAACGAGUGGCGGACGGGUGAGUAAUGUCUGGGAAACUGCCUGAUGGAGGGGGAUAACUACUGGAAACGGUAGCUAAUACCGCAUACCAUCGGAUGUGCCCAGAGGGGAUUAGCUAGUAGGUGGGGUAACGGCUCACCUGGGCGACGAUCCCUAGCUGGUCUGAGAGGAUGACCAGCUACACUGGAAUGGAGACACGGUCCAUACUCCUACGGGAGGCAGCAGUGGGUAAUAUUGCACAAUGGGCGCAAGCCUUAUGCAGCCAUGCCGCGUAUGUGAAGAAGGCCUUCUGGUUGUAAAGCACUUUCAGCGGGGAGGCGUUACCCGCAGAAGAAGCACCGGCUAACUCCGUGCCAGCAGCCGCGGUAAUAC